AGUGAACGCUGGCGGUAGGCCUAACACAUGCAAGUCGAACGGCAGCACAGAGGAGCUUGCUCCUUGGGUGGCGAGUGGCGGACGGGUGAGGAAUACAUCGGAAUCUACUCUGUCGUGGGGGAUAACGUAGGGAAACUUACGCUAAUACCGCAUACGACCUACGGGUGAAAGCAGGGGAUCUUCGGACCUUGCGCGAUUGAAUGAGCCGAUGUCGGGUUAGCUAGUUGGCGGGGUAAAGGCCCACCAAGGCGACGAUCCGUAGCUGGUCUGAGAGAAUGAUCCGCCACACUGGAACUGAGACACGGUCCAGACUCCUACGGGAGGCAGCAGUGGGGAAUAUUGGACAAUGGGCGCAAGCCUGAUCCAGCCAUACCGCGUGGGUGAAGAAGGCCUUCGGGUUGCAAAGCCCUUUUGUUGGGAAAGAAAUCCAUCUGGUUAAUACCCGGGUGGGAUGACGGUACCCAAAGAAUAAGCACCGGCUAACUUCGUGCCAGCAGCCGCGGUAA
rnacentral:rRNA from 1 species